UACGUAUGGUGCAAGCGUUAUCCGGAUUUACUGGGCGUAAAGGGAGCGCAGGCGGCGCGCCAAGUCUGAUGUGAAACCCCGGGGCUCAACCCCGGGCAUGCAUUGGAAACUGGCGGGCUGGAGUGCCGGAGAGGUAAGCGGAAUUCCUAGUGUAGCGGUGAAAUGCGCAGAUAUUAGGAGGAACACCAGUGGCGAAGGCGGCUUACUGGACGGCAACUGACGCUGAGGCUCGAAAGCGUGGGGAGCAAACAGG
rnacentral:rRNA from 1 species